UCAGCCCAACAUCCGUAACCUGCAAAUUAGUUCCAAAAGUAAAGAGUCAAAGACUCCAAAAGACAAUAGAAGUGUGUUUUUCAUGGAUCCUAUUUUUUUAUGAAUUUAUUUUAAUUCAUUUAAAAUUAAUUUGAUGUUUUUUGCAGGUUGAAGGGAUUGUGGCUCCAAUGGUGAGAAGAAAUUUGACCUCUACCAGGAUUGGGAAAACAUUUGCCCAAAAGGGUGGAGACCAGUUUCAACGCAAUUUUGAUCACUCCAAAAAAAUGUCAAAGUAGUCUCAAGCCAGGAGAUGUUUUGGAAGUUGAGGGCACCCCAGCUUUGAGAUGCCAAAAGGUCUUCUUCAUAGAGUGUUUGCCUUGGGAUGCUGUUAAGGGAAACAGUGAAAAGGCACUGCGAUAUGGGCUGAAGCAGGCAUUAGAACUGUGUGAGCGUCACACCUUCAACUCAGUGGCUUUUCCAAUAAUCGGACCUGGGAUGGUUCUGAACAUACCUGCAAGAGAAGCAGCUCAGAUGCUGACAGAUGAGAUUGGUCGGUUUGGAAGGUUGGGACCAACAAGAUCCCUCUCAACUUUACGUAUUGUCAUCCAACCAGACUAUCAAGAUUCUACAGAGGCAAGUGUAGACUAUCAGAGUUAAUAGGUCAAUAUCCUAAAGGUUUUCAGGUAUCCCAUAGCUUAUGUACAAUCCCAUAACUUGUCAAUAUUGUCUGUAUAUUGAAAAAUGCACCUUAACUGAAAUUUGAUUGAAUGUAUUUCUUUCUCUAAGAUCUUUCAAGAAGUAUGCCGGGGUCUAAAUAAAUAUAUGGUGGAUAUUAACA
rnacentral:lncRNA from 1 species